rnacentral:rRNA from 1 species
CUUACCCCGGUCAUGAAAACCCUGACGGAACAAUACCGCGUGAGGGAGGAAGGCUCUUGGGUCGUAAACCUCUUUUCUCACCGUAGAAGAAAGUGACCGUACUUGAGGAAUAAGCAUCGGCUAACUCCGUGCCAGCAGCCGCGGUAAUACGGAGGAUGCAAGCGUUAUCCGGAAUGAUUGGGCGUAAAGGGUCUGCAGGUGGAACUGAAAGUCUGCUGUUAAAGAGUUUGGCUUAACCAAAUAAAAGCGGUGGAAACUACAGAACUAGAGUGCGGUAGGGGCAAAAGGAAUUCCUGGUGUAGCGGUGAAAUGCGUAGAUAUCAGGAAGAACACCGGUGGCGAAAGCGUUUUGCUAGACCGUAACUGACACUGAGGGACGAAAGCUAGGGGAGCGAAUGGGAUUAGAUACCCCAGUAGUCCUAGCCGUAAACGAUGGAUACUAGGCGUGGCUUGUAUCGACCCGAGCCGUGCCGGAGCUAACGCGUUAAGUAUCCCGCCUGGGGAGUACGCACGCAAGUGUGAAACUCAAAGGAAUUGACGGGGGCCCGCACAAGCGGUGGAGUAUGUGGUUUAAUUCGAUGCAACGCGAAGAACCUUACCAAGGCUUGACAUCCUGCGAAUCCUGGUGAAAGCUGGGAGUGCCUUAGGGAGCGCAGAGACAGGUGGUGCAUGGCUGUCGUCAGCUCGUGUCGUGAGAUGUUGGGGUUAAGUCCCGCAACGAGCGCAACCCUCGUUUUUAGUUGCCAGCAUUUAAGUUGGGCACUCUAGAGAGACUGCCGGUGACAAACCGGAGGAAGGUGAGGAUGACGUCCAAGUCAGCAUGCCCCCUUUACGUCCUUGGGCUUACACACCGUUACUUACAAAUCGCCUCACGG